rnacentral:rRNA from 1 species
AUUGAACGCUGGCGGCAUGCCUUACGCAUGCAAGUCGAACGGUAACAGGUUAAGCUGACGUGUGGCGAACGGGUGAGUGAUGUAUCGGAACGUGCCCAGUCGUUGGUGAUAACUGCUCGCAAGAGCAGCUAAUACCGCAUACGACCUGAGUGUUAAAGCGGGGGAUCGCAAGACCUCGCACGAUUGGAGCUCCCGAUAUCCGAUUAGGUAGUUGGUGAGGUAAAGGCUCACCAAGCCGACGAUCUGUAGCUGGUCUGAGAGGACGACCAGCCACACUGGGACUGAGACACGGCCCAGACUCCUACGGGAGGCAGCAGUGGGGAAUUUUGGACAAUGGGCGCAAGCCUGAUCCAGCCAUGCCGCGUGCGGGAAGAAGGCCUUCGGGUUGUAAACCACUUUUGUCAGGGAAGAAAAGGUUCAGGCUAAUACCUGGGACUCAUGACGGUACCUGAAGAAUAAGCACCGGCUAACUACGUG